GGCCAAUUAAAGAUUCAUCUAACUUACCUUUGCCGCAUAAAUGAAUAAUUUGAUAUUUACUACAGAUAGCUUCUAAAGACCCACGAACAGCAUUAUUAAUUGUUACUGAACCUUGACCGCCACCCAUAACCAAUAAGCAUGGUUUGUUAGCGUUAAAUCCAGCGAUUGCUAAUC
rnacentral:ncRNA from 1 species